rnacentral:rRNA from 1 species
AUUUAAAAUUUAUUUAAAAUUAUUAGAAUUAAUUUAAAAGUAAAUAAAGUAGUAGAAUUAUUAAAGUUUUAGUAAUAUUAAGAAAAAAUAUUUUAUAAAUAAUUAAAAUUGUAAAAGAAUUAAUAAAAUUUUUAAAAGAAAAUUUAAUUUAUUGUACCUUUUGUAUCAGGGGUUAUUUAAUUUAAAUAUAAAAAUUUAUAUAUCUCGAAUUAAAAAGAGCUAAUUUAAAAAUAUAGUUAAUGUUUAAUAAUUAUUAUAAAUUUUAAAUUAGAAAUGAAAUGUUAAGCGAUUUUUAAGAUAUCUAGUUUUUUAAUAUAAAAAUUUAAUUUUUUUAUAAUUAUAAAUUAUUAAUAAAUUAAAAUAAAUAAUUGUAUUAUGAAAAAUUAUUUAUGGGAUAAUCUAUAAAUUUAUUUUAAAUAAGUUUAAAAUUUUUAUUAAAAAUUUAGAAAUUAAAAUUUUUAAAAUUAUUGAGUUUUUAAUAAUUAAUUAAUUAAUAAAUUAAAUUUUAAAAUUUAUUAAUUUAAUAUUAAAAUAGAAGAUUAAAAUUAUAAAAAAAUUAAAAUAAUGAUAAUAUAAGUAUAAAUUAAUGUUUAAAUUGAUUAAUUCAAUAAAUUAAUUUAAGGAAUUAGGCAAAAAUUAAAAUUCACUUGUUUAACAAAAACAUGUUUUUUUGAAAUUAAUAUAAAAUUUUCUCUGCCCAAUGAAAACUUAAAUGGCCGCAGUAUUUUGACUGUGCAAAGGUAGCAUAAUAAAUAGUUUUUUAAAUGAAGACUAGAAUGAAUGAGAGGAUGAAAUUUUAACUGUCUCAAAUUAAAAAUUAUAAAUUUAUUUUAAGUUAAAAUUCUUAAAUAAAUUUAGGGGACGAGAAGACCCUAUAGAAUUUAAAAAUUUUGUAUUAAUUUUAUUUAUAAAAUUAAAAUUUAUUGAUAAAAAAUUUUUUUAUUGGGAAGAUAUUAAAAUUUAAUUAACUUUUAAUUUUAAAAUUCAAUAAUUAAUGAAUUUAUAAAAUUAUUAUUUAAAAUAAGAUAAAAUUACCUUAGGGAUAACAGCGUAAUAAAUUUUUAAAGUUCAAAUUAAAAAAUUUGAUUGCGACCUCGAUGUUGAAUUAAAAUAAAAUUUAAGUGAAGAAGCUUAAAAUUUAAGUCUGUUCGACUUUUAAAAUUUUACAUGAUUUG